rnacentral:rRNA from 1 species
UACAGAGGUCUCAAGCGUUGUUCGGAUUCAUUGGGCGUAAAGGGCGCGUAGGCGGCGGGGUCAGUCGGGUGUGAAAUCUUGGGGCUUAACCCCGAAACGGCACUCGAAACUGCCCGGCUGGAGGGCCGGAGAGGAGAUCGGAAUUCACGGUGUAGCAGUGAAACGCGUAGAGAUCGUGAGGAAGACCCGUGGCGAAGGCGGAUCUCUGGACGGCUAACUGACGCUGAGGCGCGAAGGCCAGGGAGCAAACGGG